rfam:Candidate divison MSBL1 archaeon SCGC-AAA259E17 AAA259E17_Contig_36, whole genome shotgun sequence.
GCCGGGGUGGCAGAACCAGGCUAAUGCGCCGGAUUCGAGAUCCGGUGGCCUUUGCGGCCAUCUGGGUUCAAAUCCCAGCCCCGGCG